GGCGUCGCCAAGCAAAGCCAAGCUCAAGGAGUUCCUCCAGCAGUGUGACCGGGAGGAGCUGGUGGAAUUGGCUCUGCCUCAGCUGGCUCAGGUUGUGACCGUGUAUGAGUUUCUUCUGAUGAAGGUGAGUACUCUUAGUGUUUCUAAAUGAUAGCGGGAUGAUUAGAAGUUAUUUAGAAAUAAUAUUAUUAUUUAUUAAUUAUUUUUCAAUAGCCUGCAUAGUUGUUAAUUUUAUUUUUGAGACAGGGUCUUGCUCUGUCACCCAGCUGGAGUGCAGUGGUGCCAUCAUAGCUCACUGCAGCCUCAGACUGCUGGUCUCCAGCAAUCCUUCCACCUCAGCCUUCCAAGUAGCUGGGACUACAGGCAUGCACCAUCAUACCCGGCUAAUUUUUAAUUUAUUUAAAACAUUUUUUUUUGUAGAGAUGGGAUCUAGCUUUGUUGCCCAGGCUGGUCUCAAACUCCUGGCCUCAAGUAAUCCUCCUGCCUCAGCCUCCCAAAGUGAUGGGAUUAUAGGUGUGAGCUACCGUGCCCAGCUCAUAGUUGUUUUGGAAAGAGCCAGGCCAUUUGGAAUCGUUUUCCUUUUCCAGGACAGCUGAAGUGAGCCUGCUGGUCACACACCGUGCCUGGUGUGGGGGCUGCUGCCUGGGUAGCUGGGUGUCUCGGGCAUGUGCCCAUUCACUCCCUUGACUUUUAACUUGGUACGGGAGGAAUGGAAGUGGCAGCCACAAAUAAUGGCCAUCCUGGGCUCUCCUAGAACCCACUCGCCCCAGCUGGCCUCUUCUGCCCGGGGCUCUGCUCCCUCUGAGCCCGCUCUGAGGCUGCAGCCCAGGCUGCCUGUGCCCCACACUCCCUCCGGAGCUGACAGUCCAGCCGGGGCUCAGGGCCUUUCUGCCUUCCCUUCCCACCCUGUCCAGGAGCUCACCCAUGCCCUACAUGGCCCCCACCCAAGGCUUGUUUGUUUCUUGGCCUGCUCCUCCCAUGCCCAUCCUGGCUUCUCUGCACCAUGCGGGGCACACAGUAGGUGCUCACUGGGGACUGAAGGAAACGCACACCACUGAGGGCUGCUGAGGGGUUAAGGAACCGAAACUUUGUUUAGAUUUUCUUCUGUAUUUUCCAUAUCAGUGCCUCGAGUUUAAACUUUUUUUUUGGUCUUAUCUUCACGAAGGUUGAAAAAGAUCAUCUAGCAAAGCCUUUUUUCCCAGCUAUAUAUAAGGAAUUUGAAGAGUUGCAUAAAAUGGUUAAGAAAAUGUGCCAAGAUUACCUCAGUAGUUCUGGUCUGUGUUCCCAGGAGACCCUGGAAAUAAACAAUGAUAAGGUUGCUGAGUCAUUAGGAAUCACAGAAUUCCUACGGAAGAAAGAAAUACACCCAGACAACCUUGGACCCAAGCACCUCAGCCGAGACAUGGAUGGGGAGCAGCUAGAGGGAGCUAGCAGCGAGAAGAGGGAACGUGAGGUGGGCAUGGCUGAAGUGGGUGCCAGGUGACUCUGUGCA
rnacentral:lncRNA from 1 species